GGGCUUAUGGCGCAGUGGUAGCGCGUACGCUUUGCAUGCGUAAUGUCCAGGGUUCAAUCCCCUGUGAGUCCA